CCGUGUGUUGGUUAGGUAUAUGAGCUUGCCAAUGAGUCUUCUAUAUUCAGAGGUUUCAAUGUCAUUGAGUCGUGUGCCAACGGAGGAGGAAAGCCGAGAUGAGUGAACCAUGGGUGUAGGCAUAGGAACAGAAUUGAUCAUGCCGGUUUCAUGAAGAAGGUCCAAUACGUAUUUUCGUUGACAGAUGUGGAGCCCUUGGCUGUUUCUGGCCACCUCCAGGCCCAGAAAAUAGGUGAGGUCUCCUAGGUUUUUGAUCUUGAAUUGAGUGUCCAGCAGAGAGGUGAUAUGGGCAAUUUCCUCAUGAUCGUUUCCAGUAAGCACCAGAUCAUCAACAUACACAAGAAUAAUGGUAAUGUUAGGUCCAUUAUGAUGUAAAAAUAGAGAGUGAUCAACAGAGGAUAAAGUGUAUUUAUGUGAAAGUAAAAAUUGAGACAGUUUUGCAUACCAUUGGCGGCCGGCCUGGCGAAGGCCAUAGAGUGAUCUUUGUAAUUUGCAAACAUGUUGAGGAGAUGGGAGUUUGAGGCCUGGCGGUGGUUGCAUGUAGACUUCCUCGAGGAGGUCCCCAUGGAGAAAAGUGUUAUUCACAUCAAGUUGUUUAANN
rnacentral:lncRNA from 1 species